AGUUGUAAAAACAUCAAGGAGUUCAAUUUCGAGUCUCAUAGCGAAGGGUCUGAAUACUUAUGUAAAUAAGGUAUGUUUUUUUUAUUUUUUAUAAAUAAGCUAAAAUUUAGAUUAGAUUGAUACAAAAAUAAAAUAUCUAAUCCAUUCUAGAACAAGGCUGUAACGUAACAAAAUGUGGAACAAGUCAAGAGGUCUGAAUACUUUGUGAAUGCCCUGUAUGUCAUUAGGUAUGUCAUUCCAUGGACUUUACCAUGGGAUAAGUUCAGACAUCAUUCUGUUGAACUUCUUCGUUUUUUAAUGGAUUGGUUGCUAUGAAUACCUGACCGACCAAGGACAUUCUAAAACACCUCCCACGCCUAUACUUAUAUCCAAAGCCAACAAGGAGGAUUUUAGAAAGAUCUAUUCAAUCAAUAAUUAAAGAAGUUAUUCAGUAAAAUAGAGUUGCUGGAAUGGCACAGCUAUUUCAACUAAAACAAGAGCAUAACAACACUACUUUACAGGUCACAAGAAAAUAGGUAAGAAAAUCACUUAGUGGCAGUAAUUUGCUGAUGUGAGGGACUUAAACUUCCCUCCCUCCCUUAAACCUAUACUCCCUGUUGGUUCUACGUUAACAAAUGACCUUCAGCUCUCAGACAUGCNNNNNNNNNNAAGGCUGUAACGUAACAAAAUGUGGAACAAGUCAAGAGGUCUGAAUACUUUGUGAAUGCCCUGUAUGUCAUUAGGUAUGUCAUUAGGUAUGUCAUUCCAUGGACUUUACCAUGGGAUAAGUUCAGACAUCAUUCUGUUGAACUUCUUCGUUUUUUAAUGGAUUGGUUGCUAUGAAUACCUGACCGACCAAGGACAUUCUAAAACACCUCCCACGCCUAUACUUAUAUCCAAAGCCAACAAGGAGGAUUUUAGAAAGAUCUAUUCAAUCAAUAAUUAAAGAAGUUAUUCAGUAAAAUAGAGUUGCUGGAAUGGCACAGCUAUUUCAACUAAAACAAGAGCAUAACAACACUACUUUACAGGUCACAAGAAAAUAGGUAAGAAAAUCACUUAGUGGCAGUAAUUUGCUGAUGUGAGGGACUUAAACUUCCCUCCCUCCCUUAAACCUAUACUCCCUGUUGGUUCUACGUUAACAAAUGACCUUCAGCUCUCAGACAUGCNNNNNNNNNNAGGCUGUAACGUAACAAAAUGUGGAACAAGUCAAGAGGUCUGAAUACUUUGUGAAUGCCCUGUAUGUCAUUAGGUAUGUCAUUCCAUGGACUUUACCAUGGGAUAAGUUCAGACAUCAUUCUGUUGAACUUCUUCGUUUUUUAAUGGAUUGGUUGCUAUGAAUACCUGACCGACCAAGGACAUUCUAAAACACCUCCCACGCCUAUACUUAUAUCCAAAGCCAACAAGGAGGAUUUUAGAAAGAUCUAUUCAAUCAAUAAUUAAAGAAGUUAUUCAGUAAAAUAGAGUUGCUGGAAUGGCACAGCUAUUUCAACUAAAACAAGAGCAUAACAACACUACUUUACAGGUCACAAGAAAAUAGGUAAGAAAAUCACUUAGUGGCAGUAAUUUGCUGAUGUGAGGGACUUAAACUUCCCUCCCUCCCUUAAACCUAUACUCCCUGUUGGUUCUACGUUAACAAAUGACCUUCAGCUCUCAGACAUGCUGUAAACAUAGAAAUGCUUAUUUCACCGGUGUAAGUCGUAAGCUGUGUUAAUGGUUAUUCCAGUGUACACAGGGAGGAGGCAUUAGGAGGGACAGAUAUCCAUCAAUGUUGAGGUGUACAGAGACUUGUCCCCAGAUGGUGUGGAGUUGUUACCUGAGAACUCAGUAAAGAAGAAGCUCUUGAACACAUAAGGUCAGCCAGUGAAUACUACUACAUAAGGUCAGCCAGUGAAUACUACUACAUAAGGUCAGCCAGUGAAUACUACUACAUAAGGUCAGCCAGUGAAUACUAGUACAUAAGGUCAGCCAGUGAAUACUACUACAUAAGGUCAGCCAGUGAAUACUAACACAAGUGUGUGCACUGCUCUUGAUCAAUCAUAAUAAGAUAGAUUGGAACGUUUCAGUCUAUUAGAAAAUAAUAAAGUUCAGCAUUACAGUGGAUGCUAGUCCCCUAGGGGACUAUACUAUACAAAUACAACAGCAGUGGAUGCUAGUCCCCUAGGGGACUAUACAAAUACAACAGCAGUGGAUGCUAGUCCCCUAGGGGACUAUACAAAUACAACAGCAGUGGAUAUAGUUGAGACUAUACAAGUUGAGACUAUAAUAGUGUGUGUGUGUGUUGGGUACAGACCUGCUAUUCUCUGAGUGGUUGU
rnacentral:lncRNA from 13 species